rnacentral:rRNA from 1 species
CAAGUCGAGGGGCAGCAGGGGUGCAGCAAUACACUCGCUGGCGACCGGCAAACGGGUGCGGAACACGUACGCAACUUACCCAAAACUGGUGAAUAGCCCUCCGAAAGGAGGAUUAAUACACCGUAACUUAAUGAGGUGGCAUCACUUUAUUAAUAUAGCUCCGGCGGUUUUGGAUGGGCGUGCGCCUGAUUAGGUAGUUGGUGUGGGUAACGGCCCACCAAGCCUUCGAUCAGUAACUGGUGUGAGAGCACGACCAGUCACACGGGCACUGAGACACGGGCCCGACUCCUACGGGAGGCAGCAGUAAGGAAUAUUGGUCAAUGGACGCAAGUCUGAACCAGCCAUGCCGCGUGAAGGAUGAAGGUCCUCUGGAUUGUAAACUUCUUUUAUAGGGGACGAAACCCGGGUAUUCUUACCCGAUUGACGGUACCCUAGGAAUAAGCACCGGCUAACUCCGUGCCAGCAGCCGCGGUAAUACGGAGGGUGCAAGCGUUAUCCGGAUUCACUGGGUUUAAAGGGUGCGUAGGAGGGCAGGGAAGUCAGUGGUGAAAUCUCCGGGCUUAACUCGGAAACUGCCGUUGAUACUCUCUGUCUUGAAUCCCGUGGAGGUGAGCGGAAUAUGUCAUGUAGCGGUGAAAUGCUUAGAUAUGACAUAGAACACCAAUUGCGAAGGCAGCUCGCUACACGAAGAUUGACUCUGAGGCACGAAAAGCGUGGGGAUCAAACAGGAUUAGAUNCCCUGGUAGUCCACGCCCUAAACGAUGGAUACUCGACAUACGCGAUACACUGUGUGUGUCUGA